CACACCGCCCGUCACACCAUGGGAGUUGGUUCUACCUGAAGACGGUGCGCUAACCGCAAGGAGGCCGCUUACCACGGUGAGAUUCAUGACUGGGGUG
rnacentral:rRNA from 1 species